AUUACUUGGUGUUACGUCCGAAGUUCGUUGAUUAUUAUAUGUGUCAGUUCCUUCAGUUUUCAGUUUAAUAACCCAUAGUGAAUGCUGUGCGCCAUUCGGUUCAAAGUAAAAAUUUAAAAAAAUUGCUUGUAUUUUUUAUUUCCGUGGCGACAAUUGUUAAUUUUUUCAAACAGCAAGUUUUUCUUUACCGUUUUGUGAUCAUUCUCCAAUCGGUAGUGCGAUUUUUGCAAAAAUACAGAUUUUUUCAACUUUGCAAUUUUCUGACGUUUUCCUGUCAAACUGCAGCCCAUCUUGGUUACUUGGUUUUUUCAAUAACGGACAAGAAACUGAUAACAACAACAGAAGAAGAACGAGUUUCAUUAACUGUCUAGGAAUCGAAUAAUGUAUGUAGUUACCUUGAAUAACUGUUAUACAUGACAUGUGCAUAAAUCUAAAACAUGUUUAAUACAAUUGUAUAAUAAUGAAA